UUACUAAUAAGUAUAACUACCAAUUGGAGGCAUUUCAGUGUAAUUGAUCUGAACACUUUGAAAUGGUCUCAGUGCUGGAUUUCUUCCACCAAGGCGCAAUUUCCUUAGAUCCUGCUUAUUAGCUUUUUUUACAUGUUAAGCAACUAUCUAUAACUUGUUUGGCCAGGGUGUAAAUUCUUAUACACCCAUAAACCCGGAGAACUGCAUUGCACAUUGCUUGGGGUCCCCAAUGGGUCCCUUGAUGUAAUUGAGACAAGACUUCCCUCAUGAGAGGUUUUGACAACAUUUCCCUUUGAUCUGAUAAUAUCCAUUUCCUAUCCGCAUUUUCUUUAGCUCCUAUUUUUAUCAACGUCUUUUGUUCAAUGGAAGAGAAAACGGGUUACAGUAGGAGGAGGGCAUGGAGUUAAAUGGAAGAAAUGGCAACUUGUUUUGCUAUUUUAUUGUAACCGACUGAGUUAUAGAGAGAAUGCCACAGUCUGAGACUAAUUCAGUGAUCCUUUAUUGCCAGCAACCGAGAGACGGCUAGAGCUCAAAAUUCUCUCAGCCCCGAAGAAGGGGCUACACAUCUUUUUACACCUUGGUCUAAAGAGGGGAGGAGGAGUGUAGCUGAAGCAAUUUUUUACAGAAGCAGAACAGGCAAAAAAGUUGAAAGAUAAAUGGUUACAGAAACAGUAAUAAGAAAAUAAACAGUUCCAGGUGCAGGGGCUUAAAUUAUCACAAAGUGAUAAACGCAAAGGCUUUGGGCACCGUCAACCGAGUGCGUUCCCAGGAGCUGCUGGUACAGCUUGCCUCAGUAUCUUAUCAGUAAGCGCAUUCUUGGAUGUGCUUGGAGUCAGCUUGCACCAGUUAUGUCCUUAAGGGAGGGGGACAAGGGGCUGCAAGUGAAGAAACCAAAAUGGAGUCUGUCCAGCUCUCUCAGCUAAGAGAGAGUCAAUCAGGUUAAAAGAAGUUAGGGUAUCACAUUUCCCACUCGUGUUUGGGGGAAUCAGAUCAUUGAUUCCUCGGUUAUAACAAGGGUGUUAUAUUGGGUUCUAAGAUACAUAAGAUUGACAGAAGCUAUGCGUUGCUUUACAAAAUUAAGAAACCAAUUUAAUAUACAAGGCCUGAAGACUAACCCUAACAAGAGGAGGAGAAGGGGGUCCCGCCAACCCAGUAAUUAGAGUAGUUAGCCAGGGAUUCCAGUUAAACAUGCUUUGGUACUUUGGUACUCCAGGAAUGAGAAAGGUGGUGUUACUUUCUUGUUCCUUCUGGCAUCUAUCUAGAUUUUCUCGAACUCUUUGAAGAGUAUUUUUUAUGACUCCAGACUGAUUGGCAUAGAAACAACAACUUUCUUCUAGAGCUGUGCAUAAACCUCCUUGGGAGAUAAAUAGCAGAUCUAAGCCUCGGCGGUUUUGAAGAACUACUUCAGCUAGAGACUCUACCUGGGCAUGUAGUAUAUUUAUGGCUGAUUGGAGAUUGCUUAAAUCAGCAUCUACCUGUUGAGAUAGUGAUAUUAGUCCAGUUUCUCCUUGAAUCAGGGCAGUCGUGCCAAUAGCUGCUGACGUAGCUAUGCUAAGGCCAGCUAGAAGGGGUACAAGGAGUAGGGCAGCUCGGUGAAACCUGAAAUGCAAUUCAGGGGGAGCAAUGAGAAGUUGUCCUUCUGGCCCACUGUACAUGUAGAUCUGGGGGAGUACAUGAAUCAACAUGCAUAGGAGAGGUCCAGGUUCAGUCCCAUUGAUGCAGCGAGUGAGGCCUGAAAUGCAGGCCAACCAGGUAUUUUUGGGUGCCUGGUAGGAGACUGAGGGGUUUAAGGAAGUAAGGAGAGACUCACUACAAGUAGCCUGAAAGGGAGAAGCAGGUAAGUUAUACCUUGCGCUAAUUAGACAGAAGGCAUUCCCUGACACAUCUCCUAGUGUAAGGGCAUGGGGGCACGUAUGACAAGAAAGAGAGUCCAUUUUGAGCAUGGCUUCUACUCCUAAUCCAACAUAAUAUGGGGGUUUGGCCUUUCGGCACAACCAGCAAUCUCAGGCUAGUUUAGGCUUGGUGAGAUUAAGGAGGUGAUGUAUCCCGUCCAAAAUGGACAUCGGGCUGGGUUGGAGGUAUUGUCAUUGCAGCUGGGGUCUCAGAACCAGGAAUGGCAGUGGGACAGUUAAAUCGACUCUCUCUGGGUGUUUUUGGAACAUAGGGUCACCUAAAUCAGUUAAAGUUCUGAUUGGCUUCAUGGGACCAGGAAUUUUUUCUGGAUGGUGAACAUAGUUCCAACAUCAAAUCCUGAAAUAUAAAGCCUUAAUCCCUAUGACAUGCUGUAAUACCAUUGAGUUAAACUAGGGUUACGGAGAGUUAUAGUAAGAGGAUUACAAUUUCCUAUAGUACACGGCUUAGGAUGGGAAGCACAAGCUAUGGAAAGGGUUGAGGAUCAGGUUCAUCCUCCAGAGUAAGUGGCCAAGGUUACACACAUGCAGUAAGGGCAGAAAAACUGGUAAGAAUCUCGACAACUAGAGUCAGGGCGAUUUCCAGGACAAAGGUAAAAGUCAACGCUCUGGAGCCUUUUUUCUGCACCCUUAGAACUUCCACAUCCAGUUUGGCUUCUGGUGUGUCCGAACCCUGCAGCAAGGUCAGCGUUCCCUGCUCUCAUGAUCGGCAGAUUGCAUUGCUCUUCAAGGGUAUGGGCAGGGUCGGGGAACAAAGCACAUAAACCGACUACAAAAGAGACUUCCUUGGAGGGUCCCACCUUCCAAGUGGUGUUUGCAAACACACAUCCUGUCAUGAAGGAAGUGAGGAGAAAAGAGUAGGAAGGGGCAGAGGACAUAACAGGUGGAAACAGACAGAAGAGGUAAAUAAAAAGAAUUAAUUCGAUAGCUUUACUCAACUUAGGCGCAGUUUUAAGGGGCCUGGCCUAGGCUUGGGGACCCAUUUUUUUUGCUGGGCUUUGUUGGCCUUUUUGAUGCGAGAAUGAUGAAUCCAAGCAGGAGUGCCGUCCACCUUCAGAGCUGUUGGUGUGGUGAGGAUGACAGUAUGAGGUCCUUUCCAGGCAGGAGUCAGUCCUUUUUUCUGGAACUUUUUAACAUACACUAGGUCACCCAGCUGGAAAGAGUGGCAGGGCCCAGUCUGGUCAGGAACUGGGCUGGGGUGUGCUCCCCUGACAAGCAGCUGGAUGAUGUCUUGUACCCGUUGGAGAGACUGCAGGUACUGUAACAAGUUAGCUUGUGAGAUUUCUGCUAAAUGGGUAUCCUUUAGCUUAGGCAAGAUAGGCGGAGCCCUUCCAUACAUGAUUUCAAAAGGUGAAAACCCAGCCUGGUAAGGGGUGCAUCUUACUCUAAGAAGGGCUAAAGGAAGGAGCUUUACCUAGUUUUCACUGGUUUCUAGGAUUAAUUUUGCAAGAGUACUUUUUAGGAUGGGGUUCAUGCAUUCUACUUGUCCAGAGCUCUGGGGUCGAUAGGCACAAUGGAGUUUCCAUUGAAUGUUUAAUGCCUUGCUGACCGACUGAGCUAUGGACGAGGUGAAGGCUGGUCCAUUAUCAGACCUUAUUACAACAGGCAGUCCAUGUUGAGGGAUGAUUUCAUUGAGUAAAAGCUUAACUACCGUGGUAGCAGUUUCGUUUUUGGUGGCAAAUGCCUCAGUCCAUCCAGAAAAGGUGUCUACUAGCACCAGGAGGUAUUUAUACCCUGCCAAGUGUGGUUUUACCUCUGUAAAGUCAAUUUCCCACCUUCCUCCUGGCAAGCCUCCCUGGAGGCGGUGGCCUGGGCUGGGCUUAGGACCUUGCUUGGUGUUUACUUGGGCACAAGCCGUUUACUGGAGAGCUGCUUGGUUAGUUAAGUCCUGAAGGUGGGGGAUCUUGAAAUGGCUCCUUAGAAGCUGGGCCAGUUUUACUCCUCCUAAAUGGGUGGUAGAAUGUAGAUGAUUGAUAAAAGUUUCCCCAAGGGCUUGGGGCAUGAAGAUUCUGGAAUCAGGAAGAAUUCACCAACCUUCCUGAUUUUUACUGGCUUGAAGAUCCGAAGCUUGUUUUUCUUCCUCUGGGGAGUAUUCUGGGUAGUCUGCCCAGUCAGUUGUGGAAAGGACACAGAGGGCAGCAGGGUUAAAGGCACGACCAGGAGCUGAGCUGCCUCUCAAGCUGCAGAGUCUGCUCUUUGGUUACCACGAGCAAUGGCCAUGUCUUCUCUUUGAUGUCCUUUGCAGUGAAUUGCAGCCACCUGUUGAGGGAGCCAAACAGCUUCAAGCAGGGCUAAAAUUUCUUCUUUGUUGUUGACACUCUUUCCUGCUGAGGUGAGUAGCCCUCGCUCUUGAUAGAUGGCUCUGUGUACAUGUACAGUAGCAAAAGCAUACCUGCUGUCAGUGUAGAUGUUAAUACAUUUGUCUUUACCCUAUUGGAGGGCCUGAGUCAGGGUUACCAACUCAGUCCUCUGUGCCAAGGUACCUGCCGGCAGUGCCUGGGCCUACAGUACAUCUGUCUCCAUAGUAAUGGCCACACCAGCCUUCUGUACUCCCUGUUCAAGGAAGCUGCUACCAUCUGUAAACACGGUGGCAUCCACCUCCUUUAGAGGCACAUCUUGGAGAUGAGGUCAGCCAGUUUCCAUAGUUUCUAACAGUUCUUGGCAGUCAUGGACAGGUGUGGUAAGGUCUGGAUCAGGGAACAAGGUAGCUGGAUUUAAACACCUUGUGGGAGAGAAAGUUAAACGCGGCUGAUCUAACAGUAAACUCUGAUACCGCAAGAUGCGAGCAUUCGACAUCCAUUUGCCAGAAGCACUUUGUAGCAAGGUCUCUACAGCAUGAGGAGCCGUAAGGGUUAAAUUCUGGCCCAGAGUCAGUUUAUCAGCCUCCUGGACCUGGCUUGCUGUUGCCACUAUGGCUCACAGACAACUUGGCCACCCAGAGGCCACAGGGUCCAGUCUCUUAGACAAAUAGGCCACUGGGUGUUGCCAUGGCCCUAAAGUCUGAGUAAGUACCCCUUUAGCGACUCCUUGGUUUUCAUGAACAAAAAGGUGAAAUGGUUUUGAGAUAUUUGGGAGGGCAAGAGCAGGGGCCUCAGUUAGUGCCUUCUUCAGAUUUUGAAAAGCCUGUUCUUCUUUGUCAGUCCAAACCAGCGGGGUAUUCCCUCCAGUAGUGGUGUACAGGGGUUUGGCAAUUUCCAUGAACCCCAAUAUCUAUAGGCGACCAUAUCCCACGGUGCCCAGGAAUUCAUGUACCUGUCUCUUAGUGGUGGGAGUGGGGAUUUGAAGGAUGGCUGCCUUUCGAGCACUGGUGAGUGCCCUUUUUCCUUCAUUUGUCUCAUACCCUAGGUAGGAAAUGCUGGGAAGAAAAAGCUGGGCCUUCUUGGCUGGGACCUGAUACCCGAAUUCCUGAAGGAGUCCUGUACAGGCUGGUAAUCAUUUGUUCCGGGUUUCUGGACCGGCAAAAAUGGAAUAUUCCAGGCGAUCUCACAUGGUGUGAGUAUACCAGCUUGUAAUAGUUGCUGAAUAUGAGGAUUAAUUCCCUCUAUAGCCCACAGAAUCAUAGGAUAUUGUUUGACCUGGACCGGCAGGGUGGUGGCCAGGAGUUCUACAACAGCUGGCAGAUGGUGGUUUGCCAGUCCUGGGAGGUAUGAGGAAACAGAGUCUGUAAAGCCAGUAGGAGAGGAUUACUUUUAUUCUCCGGCAGUUGUGAGGGUGAAACUAAGAGAUAUUCCUCUGACCGAAGGGUGGUUAGCAGGAGCUGAGCAGUAGGGGGCAUUGUGUCCCCUAACAUGAGGUGAGUUUGUUGGGCCGAGAAGGAGAUGGACGCCUGUAGCUUAUGAAGCAGGUCUCAUCCGAGGAGGGAGAAGGGGCACUCUGGGACCACGAGGAACAAGUGGGUUACUCUUUUCUGUCCUAAACUCACCUCUCGUGAGUGGGUGACAGGAUAUUCCUGAAUAGCUCCAGUAGCCCUUUACUCAGCAACCUUUUUAUUAGACACUGCCUAAGGGUGUCUGGAGUACUGAGUGUUCCACCCCGGUGUCAAUUAGGAAGCGUACAGGCUGGCCCCCCACUGUGGUGGUCACCAUGGGUUCCCGGGGCCAAGUGACAAAGAGCCCUGGCCCCGUCAAUCAUCAGAUUCCUCUGCUGCGGGGCAGGGUGAGGACCUUUUUCUUUUCUGGUUUCUCCUCUGGCUUUAAUGGGCAUUCCUUUCUCCAGUGUCCAAUCUGCUUGCAAGAAGCACAUUGGUUUCUUUAUAGGGGAGUCCUCUCACGUUUCUGGCCUUCCUGGUGGGGACUCGGGGUCCCCUGGUCAGUGCUCUGUGAUGGGGGCCCUUCCUUUUUGGCUUCUUGGAUGGCAGCCACUAAGCUUUUUGCCUGUCUUUUUGAUGCUUUGUCUGCAGCCCUUUCAGCUGCCUGAGCUACCUGUUUUUGCUUUUCAAAUUCUCGAUUGUCGAAAACUCUCUGGGCUAUCUCUAAAAGCUGGCUGAUGUAAGGAAAUACUUUCUGGCUUCUCUUCAGAUAUGGUCCCUCUCUUCAGAGGUGAAAAGGGAUGAAAGGAGUUGCUGACACUCAUCCCAGGUGGGCCGAGUGUCCAGAGUUUGCCUUUUUUAAGGCGGACCCCGUAAUCAUCUGAGAAGCCUAGAGAGAAAUUCUGCAACAUACACUGGAGAGGACUCCAAUCUUUAUGGGGCCGGGAAGAAGAGUUUACUAUUCUGGAGGCAAUUAACAAGGUUUGAACAAAAAUAUUAAACCCAGCAUGGACAAAGAUAUUCACGGCCUGGGAGGCUAUGGUAUCAGAAGAACAGAAGUAUUAUAGCUAGAAGAAGUAGGAAAACAACUAUAGCCAAUAUUUCUUGCCACAUAAGGUCUGUCUCCUCAAGCUUCGAGAUCUAUGGAGAGGAUAAGAGGUGGGUCCAAGGGAUCCUCAGCCAGUGGGACUUAGGUGACCCCCCCUUCUUGACUUAUAUCCCAAAUAACUUUGGUGUCUCCACGACUCGAAAGCAAAAUGUUCAAACUCGGUCCUUUCCUUCACGGGUUUAAGGAGGGAGAACACAGCCAAGUCUUAGAGACGCUGGACUUGCUGCAACACAGGAAAAUGAGAUGUGCAGGGUAAGGGAUGGGGAUGAGGAGGAAAGGGGCCACUUGGAUUUCCCUAAAGGUUGGAGAGUAGCCAAAAGAGGUAAAAUAAGAGUCCAGACAGAGUAGAGCAGUAUGGGUGUAGGUUUCUCUGCACAGUGCCUUAUUUAAGGGCAUGGGAAAAGUUAUGGGAUGACAGAAAAGGUGAGUAAGGAGGUCAGCAGGGUGGCUAUUUUGGAUCCACCACUGGUCUAAGGAGAAGGUGGACCAGUCGUUGGGGCGUGGGGUAUGGCAAUCCAAACGCCAGCAAUCUUUAUGGUGCCAGAAAUCCUAAACGGGUGAAUGUCUUCCACACCCUUCCCCAUAACAACACCUAAUUUGUUUCUGACAGGAAAGGCAGGACUGGGAUGGCCAGCCCAACCGACUAAUGAGGAAUUUGACCUCCUGGGAUAGAAAAUCUGUACUAAGGACCUUGAAGAAGUCCUUGCCCAGUCAUUUUGGGCAGUAUCGACGAUCCGACAUAUGAAAUUUAGACAGACACUAAACAGGACAAUAGGCACUGGGGUAUAUAAACAAGCAUGGCAAUUUUUAUAGACAGACAAGGGGAGGGGGUCCCGUGAUGGGAUCAGUCAGAUGCCCUCCUGGCUGCUCCCCUUUCGGGGACUUAGGCUCCUCUUGGCAUUGGCAGGCUGGUAUAAACCCCUGGCUUGGAUCGAGCUAUGCCUGAUGCCGCCCUAAGCCUUAUGAGGUCACCACGGAACCACAGGUGAGGGCCUUCUCGAAUUCCCUAGCUUUCACCCUGGAGCUACAAACUGGAAAUUCAAGCGCAAGCCCUUGAACUCCACAUUCACUCACUCACUCACUCACUCAGAGUUUAUUACAAUUUUUAUACCCAUUCUAAAACAGAGAUCUCCCGGAGACCUGAAUGAGAGAGGGAGAAGAGAUAGAGAGAGAGAGAGACUAGACUUAACAGAGAAUCCUGACAGAAACCAGGACUCUGUCCUCCAGUGUCCUGGAGCAUGGACAGAGUCUGAGGGAGGACCUUCGUCAGGGCCGUUUCCCUCCCAGAGAGACAGAGUCAGAUCUGACUUACCU
rnacentral:lncRNA from 1 species